GAUGAACGCUAGCUACAGGCUUAACACAUGCAAGUCGAGGGGAAACGACAUCGAAAGCUUGCUUUUGAUGGGCGUCGACCGGCGCACGGGUGAGUAACGCGUAUCCAACCUGCCCAUCACUUGGGAAUAACCUUGCGAAAGUAAGACUAAUACCCAAUGAUAUCCCACGAAGGCAUCGGAAUGGGAUUAAAGAUUUAUCGGUGAUGGAUGGGGAUGCGUCUGAUUAGCUUGUUGGCGGGGUAACGGCCCACCAAGGCAACGAUCAGUAGGGGUUCUGAGAGGAAGGUCCCCCACAUUGGAACUGAGACACGGUCCAAACUCCUACGGGAGGCAGCAGUGAGGAAUAUUGGUCAAUGGGCGAGAGCCUGAACCAGCCAAGUAGCGUGCUGGAAGACGGCCCUAUGGGUUGUAAACUGCUUUUAUAAGGGAAUAAAGUGGGUCACGUGUGACUUUUUGCAUGUACCUUAUGAAUAAGGACCGGCUAAUUCCGUG
rnacentral:rRNA from 1 species